GUACCGUGAGGGAAAGGUGAAAAGCACCCCGACGAGGGGAGUGAAACAGUUCCUGAAACCGAACGCCUACAAGCAGUCGGAGGCUCCAUGCGAGCUGACGGCGUACCUUUUGUAUAAUGGGUCAUCGACUUGGUCUAUCUAGCAAGCUUAAGCCGUUAGGUGUAGGCGCAGCGAAAGCGAGUCUUAAUAGGGCGAAUGAGUUAGAUGGAUCAGACCCGAAACCGAGUGAUCUAGGCAUGACCAGGAUGAAGGUAAGGUAACACUUACUGGAGGUCCGAACCCACACCUGUUGAAAAAGGUCGGGAUGAGUUGUGCCUAGGGGUGAAAGGCCAAUCAAACUCGGAGAUAGCUGGUUCUCUGCGAAAUCUAUUUAGGUAGAGCGUCGACCGAAUACCACGGGGGGUAGAGCACUGGAUGGGUAAUGGGGCCCCACAGGCUUACUGAUCCUAACCAAACUCCGAAUACCCGUGAGUACUAGUCGGCAGACACACAGUGGAUGCUAACGUCCAUUGUGGAGAGGGAAACAACCCUGACCUCCAGCUAAGGCCCCUAAUUCAUGGCUAAGUGGGAAAGCAGGUGGGACGACCAAAACAACCAGGAGGUUGGCUUAGAAGCAGCCAUCCUUUAAAGAUAGCGUAACAGCUCACUGGUCUAAUUAAGUUGUCCUGCGGCGAAGAUGUAACGGGGCUCAAGCCAUGAGCCGAAGCUUAGGAUGCCGUAAGGCAUGGUAGCAGAGCGUAGUGUGACAUAAGAAGA
rnacentral:rRNA from 1 species